rnacentral:rRNA from 1 species
GACGAACGCUGGCGGCGUGCCUAAUACAUGCAAGUCGAACGCUGAAGGAGGAGCUUGCUUCUCUGGAUGAGUUGCGAACGGGUGAGUAACGCGUAGGUAACCUGCCUGGUAGCGGGGGAUAACUAUUGGAAACGAUAGCUAAUACCGCAUAAUAGUAGAUGUUGCAUGACAUUUGCUUAAAAGGUGCAAUUGCAUCACUACCAGAUGGACCUGCGUUGUAUUAGCUAGUUGGUGGGGUAACGGCUCACCAAGGCGACGAUACAUAGCCGACCUGAGAGGGUGAUCGGCCAAACUGGGACUGAGACACGGCCCAGACUCCUACGGGAGGCAGCAGUAGGGAAUCUUCGGCAAUGGACGGAAGUCUGACCGAGCAACGCCGCGGGAGUGAAGAAGGGUUUCGGAUCGUAAAGCUCUGUUGUAAGAGAAGAACGAGUGUGAGAGUGGAAAGUUCACACUGUGACGGUAUCUUACCAGAAAGGGACGGCUAACUACGUG